rnacentral:rRNA from 1 species
AGUGAACGCUGGCGGUAGGCCUAACACAUGCAAGUCGAACGGCAGCACAGGAGAGCUUGCUCUCUGGGUGGCGAGUGGCGGACGGGUGAGGAAUACAUCGGAAUCUACUCUGUCGUGGGGGAUAACGUAGGGAAACUUACGCUAAUACCGCAUACGACCUACGGGUGAAAGCAGGGGACCUUCGGGCCUUGCGCGAUUGAAUGAGCCGAUGUCGGAUUAGCUAGUUGGCGGGGUAAAGGCCCACCAAGGCGACGAUCCGUAGCUGGUCUGAAAGGAUGAUCAGCCAAACUGGAACUGAGACACGGUCCAGACUCCUACGGGAGGCAGCAGUGGGGAAUAUUGGACAAUGGGCGCAAGCCUGAUUCAGCCAUACCGCGUGGGUGAAGAAGGCCUUCGGGUUGUAAAGCCCUUUUGUUGGGAAAGAAAUCCAGCUGGCUAAUACCCGGUUGGGAUGACGGUACCCAAAGAAUAAGCACCGGCUAACUUCGUGCCAGCCGCCGCAGUAACAC